rnacentral:rRNA from 1 species
AAUCUGCCCUCAGGAGGGGGACAACAGCUGGAAACGGCUGCUAAUACCCCAUAUGCCGCGAGGUGAAAUGAAUUUCGCCUGAGGAUGAGCUCGCGUCUGAUUAGCUAGUUGGUGUAGGUAAUGGCUCACCAAGGCAUCGAUCAGUAGCUGGUCUGAGAGGAUGAUCAGCCACACUGGGACUGAGACACGGCCCAGACUCCUACGGGAGGCAGCAGUGGGGAAUUUUCCGCAAUGGGCGAAAGCCUGACGGAGCAACGCCGCGUGAGGGAUGAAGGCCUCUGGGCUGUAAACCUCUUUUAUCAAGGAAGAAGAUCUGACGGUACUUGAUGAAUAAGCCACGGCUAAUUCCGUGCCAGCAGCCGCGGUAAUACGGGAGUGGCAAGCGU